UCUGUGGAGGAGGAGACAACAGCAGCGGCGGGGUCUGGCUCUGCAUGUAGCAGAAGGCAGUAAGAGGAAGGAUGUCCCUGCCUCCCUCAAGGAAGUUCCCUGGAGCCCUGCACCUGAGCCCUGACAUUCCCCAGUGGGGUCCCGACUCCGGCGGUGUCAAUUAGGUGAGGGCUGCUGGCAGGAGUGUGGAAGCAGUACACUCAUUGCUGUCUCCUCUCCCAGCAAGUGACUCCAGCAUGGGCGUGACCUAGCUGCUGAAGUCUGACGCCGGCAACUCCCCACAGCCACCGCCGUGCUGCCUGGUGGACUGGUCGGAGUGUUUUCUGGAUAUUGAAUCUAAAGAAGAUUUUUUUUAUAUUUGGGUUCCAUUCGUACGCACCUUACCCUAUUUGACCAAAGAGUCGGUACGGAUCGCUGUAAGACUGUCCACUUGGUACAAUUUAGAACUCCUGGACAAAGGUAUGCCUCCCUUUUAGCUAUUUGGAAUUCAGUCUCCCUCCUUUUAUAAUAUAUAUUUUUGACCAUGUACCCCACUUACUUGUUUUCCCACAUUACUGAGUCUGAGGUUUAGUGGUCUUCACCUCUACAUAUGGAUUAUGAUCCUCUUGCUUUGUACCCUGAUAUGCUUAUCUUGCCAAUGUUUACCAUUUUAUUUUAUGUACUGUUCUCU